rnacentral:rRNA from 1 species
AUGAACGCUGGCGGCGUGCCUAAUACAUGCAAGUCGAGCGAACGGACGGGAAGCUUGCUUCUCUGAUGUUAGCGGCGGACGGGUGAGUAACACGUGGAUAACCUACCUAUAAGACUGGGAUAACUUCGGGAAACCGGAGCUAAUACCGGAUGAUAUUUUGAACCGCAUGGUUCAAAAGUGAAAGACGGUCUUGCUGUCACUUAUAGAUGGAUCCGCGCUGCAUUAGCUAGUUGGUAAGGUAACGGCUUACCAAGGCAACGAUGCAUAGCCGACCUGAGAGGGUGAUCGGCCACACUGGAACUGAGACACGGUCCAGACUCCUACGGGAGGCAGCAGUAGGGAAUCUUCCGCAAUGGGCGAAAGCCUGACGGAGCAACGCCGCGUGAGUGAUGAAGGUCUUCGGAUCGUAAAACUCUGUUAUUAGGGAAGAACAUAUGUGUAAGUAACUGUGCACAUCUUGACGGUACCUAAUCAGAAAGCCACGGCUAACUACGUG